rnacentral:rRNA from 1 species
GGGAUGUAGGAAUACAUCUAGUGGCGAACGGGUGAGUAACGCGUGGAUGAUCUACCUACGAGAUGGGGAUAACUAUUAGAAAUAGUAGCUAAUACCGAAUAAAGUCAAUUAAUUUGUUAAUUGAUGAAAGGAAGCCUUUAAAGCUUCGCUUGUAGAUGAGUCUGCGUCUUAUUAGUUAGUUGGUAGGGUAAAUGCCUACCAAGACGAUGAUAAGUAACCGGCCUGAGAGGGUGAACGGUCACACUGGAACUGAGAUACGGUCCAGACUCCUACGGGAGGCAGCAGCUAAGAAUCUUCCGCAAUGGGCGAAAGCCUGACGGAGCGACACUGCGUGAAUGAAGAAGGUCGAAAGAUUGUAAAAUUCUUUUAUAAAUGAGGAAUAAGCUUUGUAGGAAAUGACGAAGUGAUGACGUUAAUUUAUGAAUAAGCCCCGGCUAA